rnacentral:rRNA from 1 species
GAACGCGAAGAACCUUACCUGGCCUUGACAUAGUAGAGACUUUCCAGAGAUGGAUUGGUGCCUUCGGGAAUCUACAUACAGGUGCUGCAUGGCUGUCGUCAGCUCGUGUCGUGAGAUGUUGGGUUAAGUCCCGCAACGAGCGCAACCCUUUUCCUUACUUGCCAGCAUUUCGGAUGGGAACUUUAAGGAUACUGCCAGUGACAAACUGGAGGAAGGCGGGGACGACGUCAAGUCAUCAUGGCCCUUACGGCCAGGGCUACACACGUGCUACAAUGGUCGGUACAAAGGGUUGCUACACAGCGAUGUGAUGCUAAUCUCAAAAAGCCGAUCGUAGUCCGGAUCGCAGUCUGCAACUCGACUGCGUGAAGUCGGAAUCGCUAGUAAUCGCGGAUCAGAAUGCCGCGGUGAAUACGUUCCCGGGUCUUGUACACACC